UGGCAUUUGAAAUUGUGUAUCCCUUUAUCUAAAUAAGAGGUAUGUUUGAAACUGAUAUUGUCAACAAACGUUAGAUCAGGUCGAUGAAUUAAAUAUUACUUAUGUUUCACAGAUAACAACGGAUAUGUUCCGAUUUUCGUUAUCACAAUCACGUUCUUUAUUCCCCGAAUGUGACCAGCCGAUUGAGACUAAUCACUGGGUUUGUAAUGACAUGAACAACUAGACAGUUGCAGCAUAUAUAUUUUAUCAAUGCCGUGUUUUAUUACUGUUUGUCGUUUGGUCGUUUUAUCCAAAUGAUGGUGUCAGUUCAUUUUCGCCUUAUAAGUGUAAUUGUGACGUUGGAAUUUUGACGUAAUUGAAAUCAUGGUUUCUUUUGUGCGUUUGAUGGGUGAUGCAACUGGUGGUGGAAGUUUCAUAACGGCGUUAUCACUUGCAAAUUAUUUUACACUUUUAUAACAUGAAAUUUGAUUGAUGCGAUCAUUUUAUGUAAAGUUUAGAAUUCAUAAAAUGUCGGGCCGUUCGAAAAACUAAGGUAAUCUCAAUUCAUCGGCAUGUUUUUUAUAAUGACCUUCAACUUCAUAUGUGAUUUUGCCGACCUUUUUAUAGAAUGGAAAUGUAAACAAAGUUGAUGUUAUAGUUCAAAGCAAUGAUUGCUCACGAAAAAUGAAGAUAAAUAUCACACUAAACAAAACAUGAAGAAUAGUAUUACGUGUUUUGCCAGAGAAACAAUUAACAAACUAGCACUUAUCUACAAAAGUGUUUCAAACCAAC
rnacentral:lncRNA from 1 species